rnacentral:rRNA from 1 species
AUUGAACGCUGGCGGCAUGCUUUACACAUGCAAGUCGAACGGUAACAGGCCUUCGGGUGCUGACGAGUGGCGAACGGGUGAGUAAUGCAUCGGAACGUGCCCAGAGGUGGGGGAUAACGCAGCGAAAGCUGUGCUAAUACCUCAUGUGAUCUGAGGAUGAAAGCGGGGGACCUGGCAGCAAUGUUUGGCCUCGCGCCUUUGGAGCGGCCGAUGUCAGAUUAGGUAGUUGGUGGGGUAAAGGCCUACCAAGCCGACGAUCUGUAGCUGGUCUGAGAGGACGACCAGCCACACUGGGACUGAGACACGGCCCAGACUCCUACGGGAGGCAGCAGUGGGGAAUUUUGGACAAUGGGCGCAAGCCUGAUCCAGCAAUGCCGCGUGCGGGAAGAAGGCCUUCGGGUUGUAAACCGCUUUUGUACGGAACGAAAAGGCUCUGGCUAAUACCUGGGGAUGAUGACGGUACCGUAAGAAUAAGCACCGGCUAACUACGUG